rnacentral:rRNA from 1 species
UCGAGAAUCUUCGGCAAUGGGCGCAAGCCUGACCGAGCGACGCCGCGUGGAGGACGAAGGCCUUCGGGUUGUAAACUCCUGUCGAGGGGGAACAAGGCGUGGUGCAGAGCCAUGCUUGAGUGAACCCUGGAGGAAGCACGGGCUAAGUUCGUGCCAGCAGCCGCGGUAAGACGAACCGUGCGAACGUUAUUCGGAAUCACUGGGCUUAAAGCGCGUGUAGGCGGCCCGGCGCGUCAUCGGCUGAAAUCCCCCGGCUCAACCGGGGAAGGGGCCAUGAUACGGCCGGGCUGGAGGGGGGUAGGGGGGACGGGAACUCACGGUGGAGCGGUGAAAUGCGUUGAGAUCGUGAGGAACGCCCGCGGCGAAAGCGCGUCCCUGGACCCCGCCUGACGCUGAGACGCGAAAGCCAGGGGAGCGAACGGGAUUAGAUACCCCCGUAGUCC